rnacentral:rRNA from 1 species
UACGUAGGUGGCAAGCGUUAUCCGGAUUUAUUGGGCGUAAAGGGAACGCAGGCGGUCUUUUAAGUCUGAUGUGAAAGCCUUCGGCUUAACCGGAGUAGUGCAUUGGGAACUGGGAGACUUGAGUGCAGAAGAGGAGAGUGGAACUCCAUGUGUAGCGGUGAAAUGCGUAGAUAUAUGGAAGAACACCAGUGGCGAAAGCGGCUCUCUGGUCUGUAACUGACGCUGAGGUUCGAAAGCGUGGGUAGCAAACAGG